rnacentral:sRNA from 13 species
CGGGCGAUCCCUGGACCCUUGGAGCUGUGCCUACUGCUGCGAUGCCCCUUGUCAAAGGUCGGAGUUCGGUCCGUGGGGAAUGGAAAGUGGAAGUUUGCGAGUCCUGGGACAUGAGAGGCACACCAACAGGGGAGGGAGCAGGAGUCCUGGCCCUUGGCUGACCAUUUCCACGGCUUCCGUUCGACUCGCUGGCUCACUCGAAUUGCUAUUUGAUUUCAGCAUUGAUUUAUGAGCGUGUCCGGUUCACGUAGACCCCGUACAUAGCCAGCGCAAGUCCGCAUCUACAUCCGCAUGUCCAUACUCCACGCUCGCUCCUCCUUCCGCUCACAUCCGCAUUCGCAUCCGCAGUUGUGUUCGUGUUCGUGUUGCGCUGCCUUUGGCAGAUUUGCCUUCGCAGUACGCUCAGUUGAGCCGGCGACUGGCAGCUGAUUGCCCAAAGUCAGUAAAUUAAAGUUCAUUCAGCAGCUCAAAAAGGUUCGAGGGAUCGAUUCCUGGUCGCUGGUGCCUGGCUCCUGGCCCAUGGUUCUGGCUUUGACGCACAUCUGUAAUUUAUUCGCUGGCAAAAACCACAAAAGCAAAAUAGAUAUUUAUUAACAUAUAAAUUAUGCAUGUGAUUGGCCUCAACGGGCGACUCGAUACGGCUGCUAACGUGUCCUCCCCUCCCUUUUUCUUUGCUACAAAAUUCCCUUUUAUGUCCUUAAACUGUUCCAUCGGAGCGCAGAUAAAGUGAAGGCGAGGAUAGUUCUGCCUGUCACAUAAAUCGGAUCAAUAAAUGAUGAUAUUAUGCUACCGCAGGGACACAUUCAGCUGCCACACUCGCACAGAGACAUUUACACCGUGAAAAAAACAAUGCAACAAAGGUUGAUUUAAGAAAAAAGGGAGAUUUAAAUAAAUACAUUUUUUAUAUGGUAUUUCGCUUUCAAUAAAUGUGCAGGGGAUCCCGAGACUGCUGCCAAGUUGUAGGUGGCAACACAUUAAGAUAAAGUGACAACGCCUCCAUGGAGCACAGUGGACGUCGAGGAUGCGCGAGGAUGCCCCAGUGGAUGCAGAAAAGGGGUAGCUAAGGGCGAGGGGCGGAUCGAGAUGACGAUGGAGAUGGUGAUGGAGGUGCCUGAUGGGGGAUGGGUGCUGCUCUGCUGUGCUGAAGGACAAACAGAAAUCAGGCGGCAAACAUCAAGAGUAGCAGCAAUGGCUGGGGUACACAAAUGAAUUGUAUACAUGUCCCGCUUCGCGAUGGAGCGCAAGUGUGUGAGUGCGAGUGUGUAGUGUGCGUGUGCAUGUGUGAGUGAGGCGGAUAAGCUUUUAUUUUCGCUUGGCAUUUUAUGCGCAUCACGCAUACGCACUGUUACACACAGUCGAACGUACUGAGAUGCCAGCAGAUAGCAGCAGAUAGCAUAGAUGUGUGCUCCGAAAACACAGCGACAUGCACAAACGCAAACAGUCCCUCGCUUCGCAUCAAAGGAUGUGGGAGCGGUGGCGGGGGCGGGGCAAGGGUUCUGGCUAUAAUGACAUUUAGCUUUUGAAACAAUGUAAACAGCAGCAGCGGCGAAAACAACGUCGAAGUUCAAAGUUGGCUCUUGCUGUAGGCCGCCGAAAGUUGCCCUAAGUACCAAGGCACACACACAUGCUCGCAAAACGAGAAGAUGCAGGAUGCGGAUGCGGAGGAGGAGGAGGAGGAUGAGUCGGAGGCUUCUAUGGACUCAUCCGUGACAAAGGGCCCUGGGUUGUGUGCCCUGGAAUUUUGCAUGAGCCGCCAGCCACCGCAAAUAGUGAAGGGAUACACACGCACCCACCAUCACCACCACCAUAUCAACCUGCCCAACUGCCCAGGUAAACUGUCAACUUAAGCCCGGUGAGAGGCCAUAAAUUGCCUCCGGAGGUGGAGUUGGAACUAGUGAAACCGACAAGACGCUGACAUUAACUAGGCCAGAUAUUGAGACAGCUCCGAAACGGAUAUGAGGCGCCCAAACCACGAGGCCAUUCCUCACGCAAUCGGACAACCACCUGCAAAGAGGUCUCUGCCAGAACCCAGAUCCCUGCACCAAGCUUCCAGCUACCAGAGCGGGUCAAGUUCCAUUGCUGGCUUUGAUUAAGUGCGGCGAUAACAAGGAGAAAUCGUUAUCCGGGGAUAAGGCCGGGCAUGAUGCGGGGCACUCCGGGGCACUGAGCCGGAGUUAUUGUUGGGCAAAUUGAUGCUUUCACGUGCAGAUGGAUGGCCGCAGCCGAGGCCUUUAUGUAUACUUAUAGGGCUAUAUAGCUGGCACUCUCCAUUGUUCGCGUCGAGUAUUCAAAUGACAUAUUAUAUAACAUUGUGAAAACAUUUACGCUCGCUUGUAAAUAUUUCAAUUUAUUUAAUGCCACCCAGAACCACCGAGUGGGUAUCUUUUAUGUGCAUCUAGUCUAGCUGGCCUGCACACCGCAUGGAAUAAAGAAGGCAUAAAGAAUGGCCCGCCAUAAUCAUAUGCCAAUAAAAAGUCGGUUAACAGGGACUCAGUUUCGGUCUUAGCACGGUUUUUAGGGUUUCUGGUCCAGGUUGGGGACUGGGGAUUGGGAAUGGGACACGUUAUCAUUAUGCGCUACAUCGCUUACACAUGCGGCCAUGCCAGAGUAAAUGGAAGGGCCAAGGCGGCGAUGUGGGGGUUUGGGGCUUUAUAAUACAUUCAAUUCAUGGCCAGAACAAAUGAUGUGGAAAUGUAAAAUAGAUGCCCGUCCACGCAAGAUGCCGCACAAACAGACUCACGGCCAGACAAACUGGCGCAGCAUGUGGCCAGCACUGCACAGGAGAAAAAAUCCAAUAAAGUUUUUAGUACGAAAUAAA